rnacentral:lncRNA from 1 species
AAACAUAUUCUUUUCAAAAUGAAUGCAUCUAAAAACAUCAUGCUCAUAGUCAACAUGAACUCAAAUGUAAAUUCUAAAUUACAUCUAAAUCUAUAUGAAGCAUGUGUUAUUAUUUCUCCUUGCAGAUUGCAAUGAAGAAUUCAUUGGCGAAGUCCUUCCUUUUAUGUAUUGUUUUAAAUGUACCAAAAUGUUCUCGAGUUUCCGACUGAGAAAUGAAUUGCAUGGUGAACUGGGGCUUGCCUCAGUGGUAGCACCCCUCUGCCCAAGAGGCAGUGGUUCCGGGAUUGUAUCUUGGAUGGUGCAUAUUGAAGAUUUGGGCCAGGGUAAUUAAAUUCAGGGUGGGUUCUCCUCCCUUUCUCUAAUUAAAAAAGAAAGAUAAGUCCAUUGCAUGCUUAUGGAGAUAAUUAAGGGAAAAAGAUAGGGCAGCUAAGAUUUAUUUUUGUUGAACUUAAUAUACAAUGUUUACUCGUUCCUAGAAGCUUAAGCGUUUGUGUUCUAGUGGUUGCUAAACAGUUUCAUGGCAUUCUAAGAAGGCCAUUUAUUAGCUUAUAUAAAUUCAGUGGCAUGGGAGUCUACAAGGUUUAAGAACCUGACAUGACAUGGUUCUUCAAGGUUAAAUGGAUAUUGGAAGCUCAACAUAACCAUCAGCAUUGCAUUUCUUAUAGUUUACUCUAUGCAAAAGAAAAGCUGUGCUCAGUAUUUUUGUUGGCAAUAUCUAAAAAGCAAGCUAAUUCCCGUAAACGAGAAUGAGUUUUAAGCAUGCCCAUUUACCUGC